UGACCUUGAUGGAAUACAACCCACGACCUCCGCGUUAUUAGCACGACGCUCUAUCCAACUGAGCUAAGUC